AGUGAACGCUGGCGGCGUGCUUAACACAUGCAAGUCGAACGAGAACGGGUUAUAGCUUGCUAUAAUAGUCAGCUAAGCGGCGCACGGGUGAGUAAUGUAUAGGUAAUAUGCCUCUUACUAAGGGAUAACAAUUGGAAACGAUUGCUAAUACCUUAUACUCCUUAUUAACAGAAGUUAAUAAGGGAAAGAUUUAUUGGUAAGAGAUUAGCCUGUAUUGUAUCAGUUAGUUGGUGGGGUAAUGGCUUACCAAGACUAUGACACAUAACUGGUUUGAGAGGAUGAUCAGUCACACUGGAACUGAGACACGGUCCAGACUCCUACGGGAGGCAGCAGUGGGGAAUAUUGCACAAUGGACGAAAGUCUGAUGCAGCAACGCCGCGUGGAGGAUGACACAUUUCGGUGCGUAAACUCCUUUUAUAUGAGAAGAUAAUGACGGUAUUAUAUGAAUAAGCACCGGCUAACUCCGUGCCAGCCGCCGCCGUAA
rnacentral:rRNA from 1 species